GGUUUGGGGUGAUUUCCCCUCCUUGGACCCCAGGUUUGGUUUGGGGUGAUUUCCCCUCCUUGGACCCCAGGUUUGGUUUGGGGUGAUUUCCCCUCCUUGGAGCCCAGGUUUGGGGUGAUUUCCCCUCCUUGGAGCCCAGGUUUGGGGUGAUUUCCCCUCCUUGGAGCCCAGGUUUGGUUUGGGGUGAUUUCCUCUCCUUGGAGCCCAGGUUUGGGGUGAUCCCCCCUCCAUUCCCAGUCCUGCCCCCCAAGCCUGGUUUUCCCCCAUAUCGUGCCCGUGUUCAGCUCGCAGAGCAAAUCCCUCCUUUUAUUCGACCCCAAAUUUGGAUUUUCCAGCGCCAGGAAGGUGCUGGGGAGAGGCUGAGGAGCUCUGAGCCACUUGGAGCCUCACCCCAACGCCUUCGUGACAACGUCUGCACCCUGUUUUGAUGUUGUGGGACCAACUGAAAUUCCACUCUCAUUAAACUCAGGUUACAGCUGA